rnacentral:rRNA from 1 species
CGGGAUCCCGCACAAGCGGUGGAUCAUGUUGUUUAUUCGAAGAUACCGAAAAACCUUACCAGGUCUUGACAUUAUCCUGCGAAGCUAUAGAAAUAUAGGGGAGGUUUCAGGAUAACAGGUGGUGCAUGGUUGUCGUCAGCUCGUGUCGUGAGAUGUUAGGUUAAGUCCUAAAACGAGCGCAACCCUUGUCGUUAGUUACCAGCACGUUAUGGUGGGGACUUUAGCGAGACUGCCAAUGAAAAAAUUGGAGGAAGGUGAGGAUUACGUCAAAUCAUCAUGCCCCUUAUGAUCUGGGCUACAAACGUGAUACAAUGGCUAUUACAAAGAGCAGCUGAAACGUGAGUUGUUAGCUAAUCUCAAAAAAAUAGUCUCAGUUCGGAUUGAAGUCUGCAACUCGACUUCAUGAAGUUGGAAUCGCUAGUAAUCGCGAAUCAGCAUGUCGCGGUGAUACGUUCUCGGGGUUGUACACACCGCCCGUCAAACCAUGAAAGUUGACAAUACCCAAAACCAGUCGCUUAACUACUUCGGUAGAGGGAGCUGUCUAAGGUAGGGUCGAUGAUUGGGGUUAAGUCGUAACAAGUAUCCUACCGGAAGGUGGGAUGGAUCACCUCCUUUCUAAGGAAAUGUCGUAUCAUGAUCAUCUUCAGUUUUGAAAGACUUAGAGUAGAUACGUUUUUCUUUUGGCGUAGAGGAAGGGCCUAUAGCUCAGUUGGUAGAGCACACGCUUGAUAAGCGUGCGGUCAAUGGUUCAAGUCCAUUUAGGCCACAACAUUCUUUUU